rnacentral:rRNA from 1 species
AACGAACGCUGGCGGCAUGCCUAACACAUGCAAGUCGAACGCUUACCGGGCUUCGGUUCGGUGGGAGUGGCGCACGGGUGAGUAGCGCGUGGGAACCUGCCCUGUUGUGGGGGAUAACCGAGGGAAACUUCGGCUAAUACCGCAUGCGCCCGGAGUGAUCCGGGGAAAGAUUUAUCGCAGCAGGAGGGGCCCGCGUCGGAUUAGCUAGUUGGUGGGGUAACGGCCCACCAAGGCGAUGAUCCGUAGCUGGUCUGAGAGGAUGAUCAGCCA